UUUGAAGUAACUUGUCCAAGGUCACAUAUCUUAUAAGUGGUGGAGCUGGGAUUCAAACCCAGAAUUCUAAUACAGAGUCUGAAGAACACAUCUGCAACUCUAGCAAACAGUUGUCCUGCAUGCCAAUGGCUUCUCACCUCAAGAGCCCCCAUCUCGCUGCUUCUCUGCCUUAAGGCUUUCUCUACCCAGACAGCCCAGAAGUACCAGGGAUUUUAAAGCCCCCAAGGACAACCUUCAACAAGGAGGAAGAGCAUGAUGGAAAACUCAGCCUCUCUGUCCUUCACCAGAACAAUUCUGAGCAACACAACACAACACAUCCUUAACUUCUGUGGUGUUCAUAUGGAUGUGUCCAACCUUGGUACCAGACCUCAAGAAGGAAUGGGUACAAAAGUUGCUCUCAACAACCUGGAACCACUUGGAUGGUAGGAGAGAGGUAGGUAAGGGAUCAUCGUAGGACUUACUCAUUCUUGUGGGAAAGUGGGAAGCUGGAGAACUUUCAGCAGGGAGUGUUAAAACCGAGGCUAAAGUGAGGAUCCCUUUUUGAAUGUUCCCUGCGAACUCUACUGAUCUCAGCGGUGGCCAGAUAGUCCCAAACUUCUCCACAUCAAGAACUCUCAUUCCUCACCUCUGACACUCUGAGUCCAAGAAGAUGGUGUCUUGUGCCAAAAACCCUAGUUGGUCUGAAACUCUUGGUAAACAUGAGACUGUCAUUAUCCAUCUUUAGCAGUUCUUGCUGGGUCCAUCUGUGCCUUUUAACAGCACACAGUUUGCAGCAUAAAAGAUGGAUGUGUCUUAGUCCUAGAGGAACUUAACUCUUUCUGUUUAUGGGAUUUUAGUUUUUUGUUUUGUUUUUGCUUUGGAUUUUUUUUUCCACCAGGUCAGCCUUAGGCCAGAUUGGGAAGCAGGGGAUUAAUGAUACCAUACUUUUGUAUUCUACUUUAUAGAUCUCAGAGUGUUUCCACAUUCAUUACUUGAUUUUAUUGGGGGCUCACAAACUGUAGAAGGCAAAGCCAUCUGCUACCACUCUGCAGUUUCUAGAAGACCUGGCUGAAGCUCAGAGAGGCUGAGCAAACUGCCCAAUAACACAAAGUCAGUUAAAUGGAAGAGUGUGGAACAGCACCUAGCUAUUCUCUUUUUGGGUCAUAUGCUCUUUCCACUUGACUCCAUCCAUAGGCUUUCCCCUCUUUUUCUUUCUGGUUCUGAACUCUCCUCAACCAUCCAUCUCCAGUUGCCCAGGAUAUUCUGUCAUUGAGGCCAAUCGAAACCAUCAGGCAACCAGGCUCUUCAGAUCUUUCCAACCCUGUCAAAACUUAUCUGCCAGCAUACUUUAAAAUCUAGAAUGAUUUCGAAAUAGACAAAGCAGUAGAAUUCUAAACAAAUGUUAGCAGAAAUAGGCUGUUAGGGGUAGGAGGGGGAGUAGGCUCCAGACUCAAAUGUUCCAGGCAGGCCAGGCAGGAAGCACAAACGAGUGGGAUAGUCUUGGUGUCAGCGCUAUGGAGCGGCAAGGCCUGUGGCAAACUAGAGAGAGAGUGCUUUGUCUAAUUGAGCAAUUACUGCUCAGCUCCAGACGACUAUGGCCGUGAAGGAAUGUGAACUUUUCCUGUGUUUUAAAACACCAGGCAGGCCCAACAAAACAUACCCACAAGUUGAAUUUGGCAUGUGGUCAGUUUGGUCCUCUGAUCCAGAGAGACAAAAGAAGAAGGCUGUUCUACUUGGCCCCCAAGUUGAAUUCUACUUGGAAUUCAGUAGAGUAACAGCCAGUUUGGGCACCAAAGUUUAAGAGGGAUAUAGACCAACUGGGACAUAUUCAGAAGCAAGAGACCGUGGUGGUGAGGAGAUGCAGGCAGCUAUGAGGAAAGGUUAAAAGAACUGAAAACAGGAUACUGGAAUAUUUGAUGGGC